AACGAACGCUGGCGGCAGGCCUAACACAUGCAAGUCGAACGCCCUAGCAAUAGGGAGUGGCAGACGGGUGAGUAACGCGUGGGAACGUGCCUUUCGGUUCGGAAUAACUCAGGGAAACUUGAGCUAAUACCGGAUACGCCCUUCGGGGGAAAGAUUUAUUGCCGAAAGAUCGGCCCGCGUCCGAUUAGCUAGUUGGUGAGGUAAAGGCUCACCAAGGCGACGAUCGGUAGCUGGUCUGAGAGGAUGAUCAGCCACACUGGGACUGAGACACGGCCCAGACCCCUACGGGAGGCAGCAGUGGGGAAUAUUGGACAAUGGGCGCAAGCCUGAUCCAGCCAUGCCGCGUGAGUGAUGAAGGCCCUAGGGUUGUAAAGCUCUUUCGCCAGGGACGAUAAUGACGGUACCUGGAUAAGAAGCCCCGGCUAACUUCGUGCCAGCAGCCGCAGUAA
rnacentral:rRNA from 1 species